rnacentral:rRNA from 1 species
UACGGGGGGGGCAAGCGUUGUUCGGAAUUACUGGGCGUAAAGGGCUCGUAGGCGGCCAACUAAGUCGGAUGUGAAAUCCCCAGGCUUAACCUGGGAACUGCAUCCGAUACUGGAUGGCUUGAAUCCGGGAGAGGGAUGCGGAAUUCCAGGUGUCGCGGUGAAAUGCGUAGAUAUCUGGAGGAAUACCGGUGGCGAAGGCGGCAUCCUGGACCAUUACUGACGCUGAUGCGCGAAAGCUAGGGGAGCAAACGGG